rnacentral:rRNA from 1 species
AGUAACACGUGGAUAAUCUGCCCUGCACAGGGGGACAACAGCUAGAAAUGGCUGCUAAUACCGCAUAAGCCUACAGCCUCGCAUGAGGGAGUAGGAAAAGAAAUUCGGUGCAGGAUGAGUCCGCGUCUGAUUAGCUAGUUGGAGGGGUAAGAGCCCACCAAGGCAACGAUCAGUAGCCGGCCUGAGAGGGCGACCGGCCACAUUGGGACUGAGACACGGCCCAAACUCCUACGGGAGGCAGCAG